rnacentral:rRNA from 1 species
AAGUCGAACGAGAAAGUUCCUUCGGGAAUGAGUAGAGUGGCGCACGGGUGAGUAACAUGUGGGUAACCUGCCCUUUAGCUUGGGAUAACUCUUCGAAAGAAGGGCUAAUACCGGAGAGACCACAGGAACAUCAGUUCCCGGGGUUAAAGGCGGCUUCGGCUGUCACUAGAGGAUGGGCCCGCACAGCAUCAGCUUGUUGGUGGGGUAAUGGCCUACCAAGGCUCCGACGCUUAGCUGGUCUUAGAGGACGAUCAGCCACACUGGAACUGAGACACGGUCCAGACUCCUACGGGAGGCAGCAGUGGGGAAUUUUGCACAAUGGGCGAAAGCCUGAUGCAGCAACGCCGCGUGAGGGAUGAAGGCUCUCGGGUUGUAAAUCUCUGUCGGGAGGGACAAACGGCCUUAUGGUUAAUACCCAUAGGGUUUGAUGGUACCUCCAAAGGAAGGGGCGGCUAACUCCGUGCCAGCAGCCGCGGUAAUACGGAGGCCCCAAGCGUUGUUCGGAAUUACUGGGCGUAAAGAGAGCGUAGGUGGCGACUCAAGUCAGAUGUGAAAGCCCGGGGCUUAACCUCGGAACUGCAUUUGAUACUGGGUCGCUGGAGUGCGGUAGAGGAAAGUGGAAUUCCCGGUGUAGGGGUGAAAUCCGUAGAUAUCGGGAGGAAUACCAAUUGCGAAGGCAACUUUCUGGUCCGUAACUGACACUGAGGCUCGAAAGCGUGGGUAGCAAACAGGAUUAGAUACCAUGGUAGUCCACGCCGUAAACGAUGGGUGCUUGCCGUUGGGAGAUCAAACCCUCUCAGUGGCGGAGUUAACGCGUUAAGCACCCCGCCUGGGGAGUACGGUCGCAAGAUUAAAACUCAAAGAAAUUGACGGGGACCCGCACAAGCAGUGGAGCAUGUGGUUUAAUUCGACGCAACGCGAAGAACCUUAUCCUGGCCUUGACAUCCCUGGACAACCUGUGAAAGCAGGCUUUCUCUUCGGAGACUGGGUGACAGGUGCUGCAUGGCUGUCGUCAGCUCGUGUCGUGAGAUGUUGGGUUAAGUCCCGUAACGAGCGCAACCCACGCCUCUUGUUGCCAGCAUUAAGUUGGGCACUCUAGAGGGACUGCCGGCGUCAAGCCGGAGGAAGGUGUGGAUGACGUCAAGUCCUCAUGGCCCUUAUGGCCAGGGCUACACACGUGCUACAAUCCAAAGUACAAAGGGCAGCGAAACCGCAAGGUUCAGCCAAUCCCAAAAAACUUUGGUCAGUUCGGAUUGAGGUCUGCAACUCGACCUCAUGAAGCUGGAAUUGCUAGUAAUCGCAGAUCAGCAUGCUGCGGUGAAUACGUUCCCGGGUCUUGUACACACCGCCCGUCACACCACGAAAGUCGUUUGCACCAGAAGUCGGUGAGCUAACCGCAAGGAGGCA